rnacentral:rRNA from 1 species
GUCCUAGCCGUAACGGUGGGCACUAGGUGUUGGAGGCAUCGACCCCUCCAGUGCCGCAGCUAACGCAUUAAGUGCCCGCCUGGGAGUACGGCCGCAAGGUUGAACUCAAGGAAUUGACGGGCCCGCACAAGCGGUGGAGCAUGUGGUUUAAUUCGACGCAACGCGAAGAACCUUACCCAGACUUGACAUGCACGAGACCGGCGUUGAAAGACGCCUUUCCUUCGGGACUCGUGCACAGAUGCUGCAUGGCUGUCGU